rnacentral:sRNA from 1 species
UUAUUUCAAAACCGUGUAAAAAAGGACCGUGUAAAAUAACAAUUAGGUGUAUACAAAAAUGUACAUAAACGAAAAGAGCAGCAAAUCAUUCAACGAGAAAACAGAUACAAAAUACGAAAACCACUGAAAAUGGGUGGAGGAAAGGAUAUACGUCGCGGCUUGGAGCCUUUGGAAUUUGAAGAAUGCAUUGUCGAUAGUCCAGAGUUUCGUGACAAUUUAAAUAAA